rnacentral:sRNA from 1 species
CUGUUGUGGAGAGAUCAAAUGAAUGUGGGUAUCAAUACCGGCGGCGGUGAGAAUCAAAUGCUCGCCUGAAAUAGCAUCGGUACUCACCCCGACCACCAUUCCCGGAGUCACACCAUCCAUCACGCCCGGGUUACCACUUUUACCGAUACCGGCAAUUUUACCAUCACGGAUACCCACGUCUGCUUUGAUAACCCCGAGGCGGGCAUCAACAAUAGUGACGUUGGUUAUCACUAAAUCCAGUACACCGUUGUCGCGGGUCAGAUGGUUAUUCGCCCCCAUCCCGUCACGC